rnacentral:rRNA from 1 species
CCACCUUGAACAAGCCCAGUCUUGUCUGUUCUCAGAAGUUAAGCAGGGUUGGGCCUAGUUAGUACUUGGAUGUGAGAUUAUCCAGGAAGAUCAGGU